rnacentral:rRNA from 1 species
AUGAGUAAUUCAUGUAGAAACUGGAAUGUGUUGUGCUGGAAUGUUAGAGGUUUGAACUCUGAAGCUAGGCAGCGAGCUGUCAGACAAAAAAUUGAGGAAUGUCAAUGCUCUAUAGCCUGCUUGCAAGAAACUAAAUGCUCAUCUUUCGAUUCCAGAUCAAUCAAAAGUUUCUGCCCUAAGAGAUUUGACUCUUUUGCUUGCUCCCCUUCAAUAGGGGCUUCUGGUGGUAUUCUUGUGGUUUGGAAUUCAAAUGUUUUUAUUGGAAAUCUAAUUGAAGUUCAGCAAUUUGCUGUUGUGAUUAAGUUUACCUCCAGGCAGAAUAAUGAA